GGUUAUAGCUCAGUGGUACAGCACUUGCCUAGUACAUGUGAGGCCCUGGGUUCGAUCCUCAGCACCA
rnacentral:tRNA from 1 species